rnacentral:lncRNA from 1 species
GCAGGAGGUCUUAGUCUUGGAGGCUUCCAUCUUGCUCCAAGGCGCGGAACAGACUAACCUCGUGAGUGUGGCAGGGCGGAAGAGCCCAGGGCGGUGGAGCCCAAGGCGGUAGAGCCUAAGUAUCACAAGCCACCAGAGGUGCAUGACCCGCUAUAGCUAGACUAUCAUUCUAAAGUCCGGACGAGUCAAGUCUAAUAUUUAACAUGAUAAGAUGAAUGUUUUAUCUUAUUUGCUUUAAAUUAAUAUCUUGUAUGUACAUGCUCUUAAUUGUAUGCUUUUUAUAUAAUUAGCUCACCC